GAGGGAAUGGUUUCAUCACUCUUUUCCUGCACGACUCAGACCUGAGAGAAAAGAAGAGGGAAUUGGCAGAAAUAGAAGGCGGCAGGGACGCUCUCUCACUUGUUCCCUGCAGUCAUGCCUGCCAUUCCGCAACUCAAGCAGGAGAAAAACCCAGGAGUGGGGUGGCGUAGGCGGGGCCACCACAAGGAGCCCGUGCAUCAGGGGGCGCAGGCUGUUUCUGGAUCAUUCCACUGGGAAGGGGACAAAACCCAUCUUUUAUGACCCAUGUUCAGUUCUCAGUUGGAGUCAGAUGAGGAAGAGAAUGCCCAGCAAGGGAACCCAGUCUAAGUCACGAUCCAUUCUGGAAGACCUUAACACUUUCCACUGACUGUGAGAGCUGCCGAAUACAUUUUGACCCAUGGGUGGUUCCUGUCCUUGGUGAUUCCCCGACCUCUGGUGAGAUCUUUUCCUCUCUGGCAAGCCUCUGGAUGUUCUGACUUCAGAGGGGUUCUGGCUGCAGCUUUAACUCAGCCAUAUGUUGUGACAGCUCUUGGAGCAGCAUUACACGGGAGCAAUAUCCUUCCUGCUAAUUGGAUCUCAGAAUUCAUUUUCGGACCAAAGACAUCAAAUAAACCCAGGAAAUACGAAGCCGUUUGCAGUUAUGACUUGAGACGAAUUGAGUUGUUCAUCCUCUAAAGUUGUGUUCUGUUCCUUAUCAGCCUCAUCUGAAAUCUCAGACACAAAAGCAGAGAUGUUUCUGCCAGGAGGGGCGGAAAGUUCGGUCUGGUUUUGAUAUGUGUCUGGAGAUGAUAAACUUGGGAAGGGAAAUAUAGCAGAUCCAAUCCUCCCUCCCCCAUCUCCAUUAGGUCUUUGGCCUUGAUAGAUUUCAAUAUCCUGUGCAGCUGAUGUCUGACCCACGCAUCAAGAAUACAGCCUUCACACACCUGCCGUGAGAAGCCCUCUAUGACCUUCUGCAGAGGGAGGGAACUGCCUAAGAGCUGCUGAGUGCAGGAAUGCAGGGUGCUAAGAAGCAGGUACCCAGUUUGGGGUUAAAAUAUGUAUAAUAUAUCCAUUUGAAUACCCAUCAAUAAAUAUCAGUCAUGCUCACUUUUGGGUGCUGGGGGUUAUUGGAGAUAUUGAUUCAUUUGUUUUAUGAGUGG
rnacentral:lncRNA from 1 species